UACGUAGGGGGCAAGCGUUGUCCGGAUUUAUUGGGCGUAAAGAGCGUGUAGGCGGCCAUACAGGUCAGCUGUGAAAACUCGGGGCUUAACCCCGGGCCUGCAGUGGGUACGGGCAGACUAGAGUUCGGUAGGGGAGUCUGGAAUUCCUGGUGUAGCGGUGAAAUGCGCAGAUAUCAGGAGGAACACCGGUGGCGAAGGCGGGACUCUGGGCCGAUACUGACGCUGAGGAGCGAAGGCGUGGGGAGCGAACAGG
rnacentral:rRNA from 1 species